AGGAUAAACGCUGGCGGCGUGCCUAACACAUGCAAGUCGAACGUCCUACGCAAGUAGGGAGUGGCGGACGGGUGAGUAACACGUGGGCAAUCUACCUUUCGGUGAGGAAUACCGGCGAGAAAUCGCCGACAAGACCGCAUACGCUCGGGCAACCGAGCAAAGUCGCAAGACGCCGGAGGAGGAGCCUGCGCCCGAUUAGCUAGUUGGUGAGGUAAGAGCUUACCAAGGCGACGAUCGGUAGCUGGUCUGAGAGGAUGACCAGCCAGACUGGGACUGAGAACGGCCCAGACUCCUACGGGAGGCAGCAGUAGGGAAUUUUCCACAAUGGGCGAAAGCCUGAUGGAGCAACGCCGCGUGCAGGAUGAAUGCCUUCGGGUUGUAAACUGCUUUUAUAUGUGACGAUUAUGACGGUAGCAUAUGAAUAAGGAUCGGCUAACUCCGUGCCAGCAGCCGCGGUAAU
rnacentral:rRNA from 1 species